UCCUACGGGAGGCAGCAGUGAGGAAUAUUGGUCAAUGGUCGGGAGACUGAACCAGCCAAGCCGCGUGAGGGAGGAAGGUACAGAGUAUCGUAAACCUCUUUUGUCAGGGAACAAAGACUGGGACGCGUCCCCGGAUGAGUGUACCUGAAGAAAAAGCAUCGGCUAACUCCGUGCCAGCAGCCGCGGUACUACGUAAGUGGCAAGCGUUGUCCGGAUUUAUUGGGCGUAAAGCGAGUGCAGGCGGUUCAAUAA
rnacentral:rRNA from 1 species